UCUCUCCUCAAUUUGCCUUCUCUCUCCCAACUCGAUCUUGUACGUAUUGCUUGGAGACGUCAGUCGGUCUUGGGGCAACUAUUGGAACAUAGCUCUCGGCUUGCUAGCUUAUACCUUGUGCAUUUGUUAGGGUUGGGGCAGUCUUGGGAGGCUGUGUUGUCAUUCAGUUACAGGGUGUGGUGGCUAGCUGGGGUUGGGUGGGGACUGCUCUUGACUGUUGGCGAGUUGGGGG
rnacentral:lncRNA from 1 species